rnacentral:rRNA from 1 species
UACGUAGGGGGCGAGCGUUGUCCGGAAUCAUUGGGCGUAAAGCGCGUGUAGGCGGCCCGGUAAGUCCGCUGUGAAAGUCCAGGGCUCAACCCUGGGAUGCCGGUGGAUACUGUCGGGCUCGAGUCCGGAAGAGGCGAGUGGAAUUCCUGGUGUAGCGGUGAAAUGCGCAGAUAUCAGGAGGAACACCGGUGGCGAAGGCGGGUCUCUGGGCCGUAACUGACGCUGAGGCGCGAAAGCGUUGGGGAGCAAACAGG